rnacentral:lncRNA from 7 species
AUGGGGCAGACCUAUGGGCUCUAUGGGGCAGAUCUCUGUGCUCUAUGGGCUCUAUGGGGCAGACCUAUGGGUUCUGUGGGGCAGAUCUCUGUGCUCUAUGGGAUCUCUGGGGCUCUAUGGGGCAGAUCUCUGUGCUCUAUGGGAUCUCUGGGGCUCUAUGGGGCAGAUCUCUGUGCUCUAUGGGAUCUCUGGGGCUCUAUGGGGCAGAUGUCUGUGCUCUAUGGGAUCUCUGGGGCUCUAUGGGGCAGAUCUCUGUGCUCUAUGGAGAUCUAUGGGGCUCUAUGGGGCAGAUCUCUGUGCUCUAUGGGAUCUCUGGGGCUCUAUGGGGCAGAUCUCUGUGCUCUAUGGAGAUCUAUGGGGCUCUAUGGGGCAGAUCUCUGUGCUCUAUGGGAUCUCUGGGGCUCUAUGGGGCAGACCUAUGGGCUCUAUGGGGCAGAUCCCUGUCUCUACGGCUCUAUGGGAUCUCUGGGGCUCUAUGGGGCAGACCUAUGGGCUCUAUGGGAUCUCUGGGGCUCUAUGGGGCAGAUGUCUGCUCUGUAUGGCAUCUAUGGGAUUUCUGGGGCUGUAUGGGGCUCUAUGGGGCAGAUCUCUGGGCUCUAUGGGCUCUAUGGGGCUCUAUGGGGCAGACCUAUGGGCUCUAUGGGGCAGACCUAUGGGCUCUCUGUCCUCUGUGGGACAGAUGUAUGGGCUCUAUGGGCUCUAUGGGUCUCUAUGGGCCUUUAUGGGGCUCUAUGGGGCAGACCUGUGGGCUCUAUGGGGCUCUAUGGGGCUGAUCUAUGGGCUCUAUGGGCUCUAUGGGGCUCUAUGGGGCAGAUCUCUAUGGGGCCUCUAUGGGGCUCUAUGGGCGCUAUGGGGCUCUAUGGGGCUCUAUGGGGCAGACCUAUGGGCUCUAUGGGGCCUCUAUGGGCCAGAUGCUAUGGGGCUCUAUGGGGGCAGCUAUGGGCUCUAUGGGGCUCUAUGGGGCAGAUUCUAUGGGGCUCUAUGGGGCAGACCUAUGGGCUCUAUGGGGCAGAUUUCUGUGCUCUAUGGGCUCUAUGGGGCUCUAUGGGGCAGACUAUGGGCUCUAUGGGCAGCUAUGGGCUCUAUGGGGCAGACCUAUGGGCUCUAUGGGGCUCUAUGGGGCAGACCUAUGGGCUCUAUGGGGCAGACCUAUGGGCUCUCUGUCGUCUGUGGGACAGAUGUAUGGGCUCUAUGGGGCUCUAUGGGGCAGACGUAUGGGGCUCUAUGGGGCAGACCUAUGGGCUCUCUGUCCUCUGUGGGACAGAUGUAUGGGCUCUAUGGGAUCUCUGGGGCUCUAUGGGGCGAUUCUGUGCUCUAUGGGAUCUCUGGGGCUCUAUGGGGCAGACCUAUGGGCUCUAUGGGAUCUCUGGGGCUCUAUGGGGCAGACCUAUGGGCUCUAUGGGGCAGAUUUCUGUGCUCUAUGGGAUCUCUGGGGCUCUAUGGGGCAGACCUAUGGGCUCUAUGGGGCCUCUGGGGCUCUAUGGGGCAGACCUAUGGGCUCUAUGGGGCAGACCUAUGGGCUCUAUGGGGCUCUAUGGGGCAGAUCUCUAUGGGGCUCUAUGGGCUCUAUGGGGCUCUAUGGGGCAGACCUAUGGGCUCUAUGGGGCAGAUUCUGCUGGGUAUGGCUCUAUGGGGCAUCCUCUAUGGGGCUCUAUGGGGCAGACCUAUGGGCUCUAUGGGCUCUAUGGGGCUCUAUGGGGCAGACCUAUGGGCUCUAUGGGGCUCUAUGGGCUCUAUGGGCUGUCUGGCCUCUAUGGGGCAGACCUAUGGCUAUGGGCUCUAUGUCUUGGGCUGCUAUGGGCUCUAUGGGCUCUAUGGGGCUCUAUGGGGCUCUAUGGGGCAGACCUAUGGGGCUGUUAUGGGGCUCUAUGGGGCCUAUGGGGCUCUAUGGGGCAGACCUAUGGGCUCUAUGGGCUCUAUGGGGCUCUAUGGGGCAGACCUAUGGGCUCUAUGGGGCUCUAUGGGGCAGACGUAUGGGGCUCUAUGGGGCUCUAUGGGGCAGACUAUGGGCUCUAUGGGGCUCUAUGGGGCUCUAUGGGGCAGGCUAUGGGCUCUAUGGGGUCUAGCCUAUGGGCUCUAUGGGGCAGAUGUCUCUAUGGCUCUAUGGGGCUCUAUGGGGCAGGUAUGGGCUCUAUGGGGCAGACCUAUGGGCUCUAUGGGGCAGAUUUCUGUGCUCUAGGGGCUGUAUGGGGCUCUAUGGGGCAGACCUAUGGGCUCUCUGUCCUCUGUGGGACAGAUGUAUGGGCUCUAUGGGCUCUAUGGGGCUCUAUGGGGCAGACCUAUGGGCUGUAUGGGGCUCUAUGGGGCAGACCUAUGGGCUUUGUGGGGCAGAUGUCUGCUCUGUAUGGCAUCUAUGGGAUCUCUGGCAUCUAUGGGGCUCUCUGGGGCUCUCUGGGGCUCUAUGGGGCAGACCUAUGGGCUCUAUGGGAUCUCUGGGGCUCUAUGGGGCAGACCUAUGGGCUCUAUGGGGCAGAUCUCUGUGCUCUAUGGGAUCUCUGGGGCUCUAUGGGGCAGACCUAUGGGCUCUAUGGGGCAGAUCUCUGUGCUCUAUGGGAUCUCUGGGGCUCUAUGGGGCAGACCUAUGGGCUCUAUGGGAUUUCUGGGGCUCUAUGGGGCUCUAUGGGGCUGAUGUAUGGGCUCUAUGGGAAAUUGCAGGCGAUGCUAUGAGGCUGGGAGUGCUGAGCUGUGGGGCAGGCGAUGCUAUGGGGCUGGGAGUGCUGAGCUAUGGGGCAGGGCGAUGCUAUGGGCUGUGGGGCAGGCAAUGCUAUGGGGCAGGGAGUGCUGUGCUAUGGGGCAGGCGAUGCUAUGGGGCUGACAAUGCUAUGGGGCAGGCGAUGCUAUGGGGCUGUGGGGCAGGUGAUGCUAUGGGGCUGUGGGGCAGGCAAUGCUAUGGGGCUGGGAGUGCUGAGCUAUGGGGCAGGCAAUGCUAUGGGCUGGAGUGCU